rnacentral:snRNA from 1 species
GAUCAAAGUGUAGUAUCUGUUCUUAUCAGCUUAAUAUCUGAUACGGGUUCAAAUGAACCCCAGAAUAUUAAACUGAUUUUUGGAAUUCGGUGGGAAAUCAAUGCUUGCAUUGAUCCUGCCACGGGUUGAC